rnacentral:lncRNA from 1 species
ACCCAUGACAUCACAUAGGCAACAGCACAACCCACACACCUGUUGCCAAGGCAACAGCCACCAUAUUCCCAGAAUCCACUUGGCUCCCACCUUUACCUGUGACUAUGUCACCAUCCAUAUAUAGAGGAAAGCUCCUCUGAUCUCUCUUUCUCUCUCUCUCUCUCUGUCUGUCUCUUCUCCCCUUCUCUUUUCGAUGUUACUUUGCCCUUCUCUCUCUCUCAAUAAACCUCAGAUGGAACUGUUUGGCCUGGUGUGGUCUUUCUGGAGGCGCAGGACGAUCAUACCACCAUCCUUAGACACAGGACAGAGCUCCAAUCAAGGUGUACUGGCCGAGUCUAAUAGGACUCCACAGUCACCAGUGUGAAGAAAUCAGAGCAGCCCCCGAGAAAUCAGGCCGAGGGAGUGGAGAGCCAAUCCAUGAAUUUCAACUGAACUGAACACAUUUGUAUUCUUGUUAGCAUUCACAGCAGGUGAUGUAUGAAGGAUGCCUGGGAGCUGGGCCAAAGAGACAUUUUAAGACCUAGCAUGAUUUUGUGCUAAAAAUAAAACUACCAGUCAAAUUUACUUAUUUAUAAGUCAGUUGUGCCACUACCAGGGCAAUGUGAGACCUACUCCGGGGAAGCUGCUCAUCUCUAGCCUCAGGCCCACGUUUCUAACAGGGGAAUAUCCACAUUGCACCACUGGGUCAGGGUUGAAAAUCAGUGGGUGGUAAGUUUCAACACACUCGCCUAGAAACAGCCCCAGGGCUGCUCACAGACUGGGGCCUGGCAGGAUACUGGUGCUAUUUACAUCCUUGUGAAGGUUACUGCUCCUGUCAUAAACACAGUAUGCGUUCCAUAAGCACAAACCUCCAGUUCCUGGCCCCACCCUUUCUUCUCUGCAUCACUGGCUACAGUGCACUGCCCUAGGUUAAGCUUCCCUCUGCUCUGAAGGGGUCGCUUUUCUGAAGGUCACUGGAAUCAAUAUGACAGUGUGGACUUUCAGCUUGGAACAAGCAGGCAGAUGUCAGUUGUCCCGUUCUACUUAUUUCCAAAGAAAGGGCUCCCGUUCUCACCUCGUUCCUCAUCCUUCUCCAUCUUUCCUGGAGCUUUUGAUAAACUCAAUUGAGGCUGGUGAGAUGGUUAAGGGGAUAAAGAAACUGACUGCCAAGUACGACAACCUGAGUUCAAUACCUAGAGGACACACAUGCAACUGUUCCUUUUGUGAUCCCAUUUUGCCUUAAGGUAACCAGAGUUACCUCUAAUGUUUAUAAUAAAGAGCUUUGAAUCAAU